rnacentral:misc_RNA from 1 species
GAAAUGCGAUAAGUAAUGUGAAUUGCAGAAGUCAGUGAAUCAUCGAAUCUUUGAACGCACAUUGCGCCCGCCAGUAUUCUGGCGGGCAUGCCUGUUCGAGCGUCAUUUCAACCAUCAAGCCCCGGGCUUGUGUUGGGGACCUGCGGCUGCCGCAGGCCCUGAAAAGCAGUGGCGGGCUCGCUGUCACACCGAGCGUAGUAGCAUACAUCUCGCUCUGGGCGUGCUGCGGGUUCCGGCCGUUAAACCACCUUCGUAACCCAAGGUUGACCUCGGAUCAGGUAGGAAGACCCGCUGACCUUAAGC